rnacentral:rRNA from 1 species
UGCGCAGGCGGCUUAUUAAGUCAGUGGUGAAAUCUCUCGGCUCAACCGAGAAACUGCCAUUGAAACUGAUAAGCUUGAGUGUAGUUGUAGUAGGCGGAAUAUAGCAUGUAGCGGUGAAAUGCUUAGAUAUGCUAUAGAACACCGAUCGCGAAGGCAGCUUACUAAACUAUUACUGACGCUCAUGCACGAAAGCGUGGGGAGCGAACAGGAUUAGAUACCCUGGUAGUCC